UAAUUUUAUAUCGACUCUCUAGUGCUGUGUUGUGGGGUGACCUCAUGGAUCAUCGUCCAAACCAA
rnacentral:rRNA from 1 species